UGGGGAAUAUUGGACAAUGGGCGAAAGCCUGAUCCAGCCAUGCCGCGUGUGUGAAGAAGGUCUUCGGAUUGUAAAGCACUUUAAGUUGGGAGGAAGGGCAGUAAGCGAAUACCUUGCUGUUUUGACGUUACCGACAGAAUAAGCACCGGCUAACUCUGUGCCAGCAGCCGCGGUAAUACAGAGGGUGCAAGCGUUAAUCGGAAUUACUGGGCGUAAAGCGCGCGUAGGUGGUUCGUUAAGUUGAAUGUGAAAGCCCCGGGCUCAACCUGGGAACUGCAUCCAAAACUGGCGAGCUAGAGUAGGGCAGAGGGUGGUGGAAUUUCCUGUGUAGCGGAGAAAUGCGUAGAUAUAGGAAGGAACACCAGUGGCGAAGGCAGCCAUCUGGCCUAAUACUGACGCUGAGGUACGAAAGCAUGGGGAGCAAACAGG
rnacentral:rRNA from 1 species